GGUGAGAGCGUGGCUGCCGCUCGCUAAUUGGUCCGUUCUGAGGGAGGCGGGGCCCGCUCUGAGGCCGCGGUCUGUGGCCGCUCCGCCUCAGCCAGCGGGGGCGGCCAUGGCGGCUGGGGGGUCGCCGCCGGCGGGCCCGGCCGAGCCCAACCCCUUCUCCUUCCACGAGUUCGUUCGCAGCAAAGCCCGGAGCGGUGAGGAGGCGGGCGAUUCUCGCCAGGCAGGUCCCGGGCAGAGACGCGACUCCCUUCAGCCUCUCUGCUCUCCGCAGGCGGCGGCGCCGGCCGGCCCGAGCCUCGGCCCCCUCUUGUUCCCGGAUCCGGCGCCGCUGGGAGAGGAUGAGGAUGAGGAGGAAUGGAGCGGGAGCUACCAGCCCUCGGCCGUGGAGCAGGCCCACCUCGCCGCCGCGGGCCCCGCCUCGCCCUUCUUCUUGGAGGGCGCGGGGCUGGGGGGCGGCGGGGACCCGAGCGGGGCUUCCCUCGGGGCGCCUCCGGGGCCGGGCUUCCCCUCCCUGCGGCAGCCCAGCUACGAGGAGCUAAAAGAAGAGAAUGCCAGUUUGAGAAGCAAGAUCAAUAAGCUUCAGAUUUUCUCUGAAACUCAAGCAGACAAGUGCGUAAGCCACAGUUUGGGGGAAAGUAACCACAUAAGCAAGGAGCUGUCUUAGAAGAGGUGCUCACUGGAAACAGUCAGCGUCUUUAAAGAAGAAAAAUGUAGUUGAAAUCUAUGCUGUUUGUUAAAAAGCUUUAACCAACCUGAUUUUCUUAUUGAAAAGGGCUUGGAAAGUAAGUGGCAAGCUGACAUCUGAUGAGUGUGCUUGUGUGGCUUGUGUUUCGUGCAGUUUAGGUGGUGAAAGAAAAUGAGGGUAGAGCUUGACAGGAUGCAUUUCAUAAAGCUUCAGACUAACAAAAUAAUGAAUCUUAGCCUCUCUCCUUUGAAGCAAGAAAAGCAUUUUUUUUAUUUUUGCUGGUGAGCAGCUUGGUACUGGGGUAGUUGAAUUUCCUGAGGUUAAACAACCCGUUGAUUAGUCCAGGGUGGCAACUUCUGAAGUUCCUCUGCACUCUGCUGCUCCUCACAGCAAGGCAGCUGAUGCUUCCAUGGUGACCAUUGGAUUCAGAAUUACCCUUAUUUAGGCUGAUUGUGAAUGGCUGUGUUUUCUGCAUGGCCUUUUUCCAUAGUACCCUUUAACACUAAUGGAUGUUGAACAAAGAAAUCCCCUGAGCCACAACCUGGAACUGUACUUCUGUGGGAAGACUUCAUUUUUCUUACAACACAAAUGAAUGUUUCUUGAUUCUUCCCUAGAAUUUUCUUACUAAGGUAUUUAAUGCUACAAGAGCUUACUGCGUAUUUUCUCCUGUUUUUUAAGGAUGAGGAAGCUUGAAAGAAAGCUUGAGGAAAAUAAAAUUAAAGAAGAAAAAGAAGCGCA
rnacentral:lncRNA from 1 species